rnacentral:misc_RNA from 1 species
AAGUCGUAACAAGGUCUCCGUAGGUGAACCUGCGGAGGGAUCAUUACCGAGUGAGGGGCCACAACCCCGACCUCCCACCCUUUGUUAAUCAAACCACGUUGCUUCGGGGUGGACCUAUUCGCUUAGGGCCCGGCAGGACCGUUCAACUCUGCAUCAUUGCGUCGGAGUCAAAUACAAAUGAAAUCAAAA